GCUCCGGUGGCCUAGUGGUUAGAGCGUCCGCCUUGGAUGUGGGUGGUCGCGAGUUUGAAACCCAGCCGAGUCA